GGAGGGGGUGUGUGCAUUAGGAAGCAUGAGAGGCUAAGAUGCAAUUUAGAGAAAAUUGCAACUUUUGGCCCAAAGGUUUGAAUAAUUAAAUUCAAACCUAUAGUUUUUUUUAAUAUAAUUUUGGGACUCACAAUCCCAUUUUUAUAUUAUUUUUCUCUCUUCCUCUCACGUUGCUCGGCGUUUUCUCGCAAGGGGGGAUUAUUUUCUUUUUCUUCAGAUUAUAUUGACAAAGAUAGUGGUGAAAAAGGAGUUGUGAAGGGGAACUUGUUAUUCAAGACACAAGGAGCGAAUCCGGCCGAGAAAGCACCAGAGGUGUAAUUAUGGUGUAUGAGACACCAUCUUUUACGUUGCCUCUUAUUUUGGAUUAUACAAUGUAUCUUGUGCCAACUUAGGACAUAUCUUGUCUAUGGAGCAUGUAAACUCUAAUCCUUUUUAUUAAAUGCAUUUAUAUGUCCAAGAGGAUUAUGUCUGUCCCUUUUGAUUCAUGACCUAAUUUGAAUAACAUGCUAUGAGGAUCAUGUCUGUCCCUCAUGGUUCUAAUUGCUUUUUGAGA